AUUGAACGCUGGCGGCAGGCCUAACACAUGCAAGUCGAGCGGAUGAAGGGAGCUGGCUCCUGGAUUCAGCGGCGGACGGGUGAGUAAUGCCUAGGAAUCUGCCUGGUAGGGGGGGAUAACGUCCGGAAACGGGCGCUAAUACCGCAUACGUCCUGAGUGAGAAAGUGGGGGAUCUUCGGACCUCACGCUAUCAGAUGAGCCUAGGUCGGAUUAGCUAGUUGGUGGGGUAAAGGCCUACCAAGGCGACGAUCCGUAACUGGUCUGAGAGGAUGAUCAGUCACACUGGAACUGAGACACGGUCCAGACUCCUACGGGAGGCAGCAGUGGGGAAUAUUGGACAAUGGGCGAAAGCCUGAUCCAGCCAUGCCGCGUGUGUGAAGAAGGUCUUCGGAUUGUAAAGCACUUUAAGUUGGGAGGAAGGGCAGUAAGUUAAUACCUUGCUGUUUUGACGUUACCAAAAGAAUAAGCACCGGCUAACUUCGUG
rnacentral:rRNA from 1 species